rnacentral:rRNA from 1 species
GCAGUGGGAGCCUCUUUUAUGGGGUGACUGCGUACCUUUUGUAUAAUGGGUCAGCGACUUAUAUUCUGUAGCAAGGUUAACCGAAUAGGGGAGCCGAAGGGAAACCGAGUCUUAACCGGGCGUUAAGUUGCAGGGUAUAGACCCGAAACCCGGUGAUCUAGCCAUGGGCAGGUUGAAGGUUGGGUAACACUAACUGGAGGACCGAACCGACUAAUGUUGAAAAAUUAGCGGAUGACUUGUGGCUGGGGGUGAAAGGCCAAUCAAACCGGGAGAUAGCUGGUUCUCCCCGAAAGCUAUUUAGGUAGCGCCUCGUGAAUUCAUCUCCGGGGGUAGAGCACUGUUUCGGCAAGGGGGUCAUCCCGACUUACCAACCCGAUGCAAACUGCGAAUACCGGAGAAUGUUAUCACGGGAGACACACGGCGGGUGCUAACGUCCGUCGUGAAGAGGGAAACAACCCAGACCGCCAGCUAAGGUCCCAAAGUCAUGGUUAAGUGGGAAACGAUGUGGGAAGGCCCAGACAGCCAGGAUGUUGGCUUAGAAGCAGCCAUCAUUUAAAGAAAGCGUAAUAGCUCACUGGUCGAGUCGGCCUGCGCG